AAAAACAUUUCCUUUUGUAUUUGAAAAGGUAAACCCUGCCCAAUGAUAUUUAAAUGGCCGCAGUGUUAAAAUUGUGCAAAGGUAGCAUAAUAAUUUUCUUUUUAAAUGGAAGGUCGGAUGAAAGGGAUUGACUAGAUAUUUACUGUGUCAGUAUAAAAAUAGAAUUUUAUGAGGAGGUUAGAAAUCCUUUUGAUAUUAAAGGGACGACAAGACCCUGGGAGCUUAUAAAUCAAAUUAAAGAUUGAAUUUGUUUAACUGGGGCGGUUAAUAAUUAAAACAUUGUAGUUAGAACAAUUGGAUGGAGUAAAUGAUCAUUAGUUAGACAUAGAGUUAAAGCUACCCCAGGGAUAACAGCGUAAUUAUUCUGGAGAUUUUUGUUGAAGGAGUAGUUUGCGACCUCGAUGUUGAAUUAAGGUAGUCCUCUUGAAGGAGAGAGCCUGGAGGGAGAGUUUGUUCAACUUUUAAAUACUUACGUGA
rnacentral:rRNA from 1 species